CAGGCCACCUAAGUGUGCUGUAGGAAGAACGAUUGACUGAUCCCUUAAGAGCCUGAAGCGUACUCUCGGGUUGUCUCCCUUUUUCUCUUUCUGUGCGCUCGUUAGUCUCUUUUUCGGCCGCGAGGGAGCACGAUCUCUCACCUGGGGCUGGCGAUGGUGGCAACAUUCCUAAUUGCGGGUGCUCGCAUUGUUUCCCUUUCAUGUCGCGUCCACCUAGAGAUCCUUGUUGUUCGUUGUUGUCCGUAACACUAGGUGUUCGCUGUAUAAGGGCGUGAUGAGGCGUGUGGACGUCCUCACGUAGUUCUGCCAGAAACAAGGGAGAUUGUGCAAUGAGAGGAGGAGGCACUGGUUUCCUACUGACCAGAUCCCGAGGCGACGAAGGUGAAAUGGUGUGGAAAGCACCUCCAGAAAGCGUCAAAUGGUGACGUGGCGUGGGCGUUUUCAGGAGCGGACCUGGUUCUGGUAGCGAGGCGCCUGUAGCUAGCGUAGGCGUCGAGACACCGCGGUCAUCCUCGUGACCAUGAAAAUGGUGACCUUGUUUCGCACUACCACACGAAGGAAAGGACAAUUUGUCGGACAGCGCCUGCCAGGCGGUAGUAGAACUCGUCUGGUUCUGUCCCAAUGGCUCCGAAGGCGGCUUUUUCAGGACUGCCGCGUAGACAUACUGUUUGGUCGGCGGGCGGCGAUGGUGAGGCAUGUGGCUGGAACCUCUUCCCAAAGAGCGAAAAACGUGACGAGGCGACGGAUAAGUGCUGGAGGAAGUGCCAGACGCCUUUGGUCCCAGCGAACUAGGGGAGUCGUGCUUCGUCACACCAAACGUCGGCAGCCGUGACAGCUUGCCAACUGUCGUCUCAGUGCUGCUGGCGUCGUCGCUAGGACGAAUCGCCGCGUUCGGAAGGACUGAAGACGUCACUUCAGUAUUGGAGAAGCUCGAGGGUUCCUUGUUUAGGACAACAGAGGCUUUUGCAGGAGAGACAUUUCCUUUUUUGCUUCCCUCUUCGAUGUCUAUGGCCGGGUCGUCGCCACUGGCAGCACCCUCUUUUGCAACUCGACCUUCAUGUUUCCGGUUGACGCGUGGUGAUGCUGACGCAACAGGAAGCUUCCGUUGCUCACCUGCACACCAUGCAUUGCCUCUGCUUGUCUCUACACAGCGGCUGACAUCUUUGCUGGGCAAAGGUGCCUCCUGUUUCACACGCGAGUUAAAACCCUCUUCAGGACAGGUUGUCUUCUCUGUCAAGUCAAGUGGUUCUGAGGGGAAACUGGCGUCUUUGUCCACUGAAGGAACAGAACGUUCCGGUUGUGCUAUCCAACCACUUUCACGCGCAGUUCCGACAGAUGGGGACCUCGUUUUCCUUUCCGGGGGCCGAGUUUGCCUUCUCUCUAUCGAAGCCGAGUGAUGGCUUUCGAACUGAGCGUGUGCUCGGUUGUGUAGAGAACCCCCCUUUGUUUCGUGCAUGUUAUUUCCUGGCAGGUUUUUCCUGCCCUUUCCUUCACUUUUUGCGUUGGUCGUAUUUCCUGCCUCCUUCUGCUGAGGAACCGAGUCAGCUGAGGUAGAUUGCCUGUGCCUCGUCAAAAAAAACGAAUCAACCGUUGCACAGGUGACGUGAGGAACAUCGCCGGAAAUUUCGGGAGGUACACGAGAGAGCAGAUCUCCUUGUAGCUGCGACUGAGUGGUGGCGGUUGAUUUUCUACCAUCUGUUUCCUCGCCGAUGAUUCUCUUGAUAACUGUACUACUAGUCGGUGAAAUUGAUUGAUUGUUAGAAUCAGCCUUCUGAUUUGUGGCCGCCUUCCAGACUAUGGAAACUUUACCACCCUCGAUUCGCUUAGAGGUCGAUUUGCCGAACGGCUGUCCGCCGCUGCUAUUUCUCCGUUGAGGUAACAAGAUCGGAAUCGGCGCCGAGUGUUUUGAAGACGAAGAAGGCAUUGUUUUCUGACUGGCAGAAGCUUCUGCUGGUUUCCUGUCCACUAGCGACGGCGGUCGCUCCACCGAAGACAGGACCGGUUCCUUUCCUGACCGUUUUUGUGAAUUUACCUGGCGUGUUGCGAACUCUGAAGGUUCUACUGUAUUUGGUACCUGCAUACUUGCAACAGUGGUCAGCGGAGACGAACAUAUUACAGCACUUUCCGUAGUCGAUGAGGGAACUGUGGGGUCUCGUUCACGAUGAUCGGCCAACCAGGCCGCAGGGGAGGGUACCGCUUCCAGCGUGGCAGUGACCGCCCGUUGCUGGGAAGCAACUUCAUACAGCAGUGAGUCUUGCGAGCGUGUCCCCACACUGGCAUUUUUGGCGUUUCGCUUCGACAGAGUGGCUGCAGUCGUAUGAAGGCCAGACGCUUCUGAAGGGUUGCCCCUCUUGCACGUUGCUGUAGACACAGACACUUCCUUCGGGUUUUCCUUCUCAUUCCCUGUAUCUACAGGUGGAUGUAAAACGUGGUCGCAGGAAGUUGUCUGAAGUGAAAUGGUCUCCGUCUCGGCGGCAUCGGAAAUGGACGGGGGAGCGUCAACUUCUGCGGAAGUUACCAUAUUGCCCACAAACGCAAUGGAAUCUGUGCCUCCCGGACUCGAUCCCGUCGGAUGUGCAUUACCUGCUGUUUUGGGAGACGCCAGAUAUGUUGCGGGAGACACUGUGUUCCAUUUUUUACAUAAUUGUUUAUCCUGAAACGUUCGCUUCUGUUGCCCGUGCUUCUUUCCCCUAUUCGACGGAUACGCCGUCCCCCCCGUCUGAUGUUGCUGAGGAAGCCUGCCCGAGCUUGUCGGGCGGCCUGGUGUGCCACCGGUACUGGAGGUGCCUACAGCUGAAAUUUUCGCAGUCACUGACAAGUCAUCUUUUGGAUGCGAAACCCGAUCGCAAUGCUUCUGCACUUCAGAUGAUACUGCAGUGUGUGUCGGCUUAACUACUGGAACGUACAUGACCGCUUUCGGCGGUCGCGAUGGUGACGGAGCGACAAAAACCCGAGACAAUGUAGACACAGCAAGGCGUGGCUUUGCGGUUGAGGAUGGCGAU
rnacentral:lncRNA from 1 species